rnacentral:rRNA from 1 species
AGACAGCAGUCGCCGCGGUAAUACGAAGGGUGCAAGCGUUAAUCGGAAUUACAGGGCGUAAAGCGUGCGUAGGCGGUUUGUUAAGUCUGUUGUGAAAUCCCCGGGCUCAACCUGGGAAUGGCAAUGGAUACUGGCAAGCUAGAGUGUGUCAGAGGAUGGUGGAAUUCCCGGUGUAGCGGUGAAAUGCGUAGAGAUCGGGAGGAACAUCAGUGGCGAAGGCGGCCAUCUGGGACAACACUGACGCUGAGGCACGAAAGCGUGGGGAGCAAACAGGAUUAGAUACCCGAGUAGUCCCUGUCUCUUAUAC